UAGAACUAUACUUUCAGGGAUCAUUUCUAUAGUUUAUUACUAGAGAAGUCUCUCUGAAUGUGUAGCACACCGAAAACCACGAGGAGGAGGUGUAGCGUUUUCUUCUGAGCGUGAAGUUGGCAUUUGGUGUUGCAGUUGCUGUAAGUGCCACUUGCUGUUGAUGAUCGUUCUUCUUCUCUUCCCAGAGAAGAAAGAGGGAGAAAAUGCUGUCUGAGUGGU